rfam:Salmo salar isolate Sally breed double haploid chromosome ssa23, whole genome shotgun sequence.
UGCAUGCAUGACUGUUAAUCGCUUUGGAUAAAAGCAUCUGCUAAAUAGCAUUUA